CGUCCUGUGUGGCAACAUGCAGGGAGUUUGGACAGGAGUCAGCAGAGGCCAUAUUAGGC
rfam:Desulfobacterales bacterium GWB2_56_26 gwb2_scaffold_7297, whole genome shotgun sequence.